AGAGUUUGAUCCUGGCUCAGAACGAACGCUGGCGGCAGGCUUAACACAUGCAAGUCGAACGCACCGCAAGGUGAGUGGCAGACGGGUGAGUAACGCGUGGGAACGUGCCCUUCAGUUCGGGAUAACCCAGGGAAACUUGGGCUAAUACCGGAUACGUGCGAGAGCAGAAAGAUUCAUCGCUGAAGGAUCGGCCCGCGUCUGAUUAGCUAGUUGGUAGGGUAAUGGCCUACCAAGGCGACGAUCAGUAGCUGGUCUGAGAGGAUGAUCAGCCACAUUGGGACUGAGACACGGCCCAAACUCCUACGGGAGGCAGCAGUGGGGAAUAUUGGACAAUGGGCGCAAGCCUGAUCCAGCCAUGCCGCGUGAGUGAUGAAGGCCUUAGGGUUGUAAAGCUCUUUCGUCCGGGACGAUAAUGACGGUACCGGAAGAAGAAGCCCCGGCUAACUUCGUGCCAGCAGCCGCGGUAAUACGAAGGGGGCUAGCGUUGUUCGGAAUCACUGGGCGUAAAGGGCGCGUAGGCGGCCUGAUAAGUCGGGGGUGAAAGCCUGUGGCUCAACCACAGAAUUGCCUUCGAUACUGUCGGGCUUGAGACCGGAAGAGGUAAGUGGAACUGCGAGUGUAGAGGUGAAAUUCGUAGAUAUUCGCAAGAACACCAGUGGCGAAGGCGGCUUACUGGUCCGGUUCUGACGCUGAGGCGCGAAAGCGUGGGGAGCAAACAGGAUUAGAUACCCCAGUAGUCC
rnacentral:rRNA from 1 species